GUUGGGAGGUAGGUCUGGUGUCCCCCAGGGUGAUGUCGGGAGGUUGGUCUGGUGUCCCCCAGGGCAAUGUUGGGAGGUUGGUCUGGUGUCCCCCGGGGUGAUGUUGGGAGGUAGGUCUGGUGUCCCCCAGGGUGAUGUCGGGAGGUUGGUCUGGUGUCCCCCGGGGUGAUGUUGGGAGGUAGGUCUGGUGACCCCCAGGGUGAUGUUGGGAGGUUGGUCUGGUGACCCCUGGGGUGAUGUUGGGAGGUUGGUCUGGUGACCCCCAGGGUGAUGUUGGUCUGGUGUCCCCGGGGUGAUGUUGGGAGGUUGGUCUGGUGACCCCCAGGGUGAUGUUGGGAGGUUGGUCUGGUGUCCCCCGGGGUGAUGUUGGAGGUAGGUCUGGUGACCCCCAGGGUGAUGUUGGGAGGUUGGUCUGGUGACCCCCGGGGUGAUGUUGGGAGGUUGGUCUGGUGUCCCCCGGGGUGAUGUUGGGAGGUAGGUCUGGUGUCCCCCGGGGUGAUGUUGGGAGGUUGGUCUGGUGUCCCC
ensembl:lncRNA